rnacentral:rRNA from 1 species
CCUACGGGGUGCUGCAGUGGGGAAUAUUGGACAAUGGGCGAAAGCCUGAUCCAGCCAUGCCGCGUGUGUGAAGAAGGCCUUCGGGUUGUAAAGCACUUUCAGUGGGGAAGAAAGCCUUGGGGCUAAUACCCUCGAGGAAGGACAUCACCCACAGAAGAAGCACCGGCUAACUCCGUGCCAGCAGCCGCGGUAAUACGGAGGGUGCGAGCGUUAAUCAGAAUUACUGGGCGUAAAGCGCGCGUAGGCGGUCUGAUAAGCCGGUUGUGAAAGCCCCGGGCUCAACCUGGGAACGGCAUCCGGAACUGUCAGGCUAGAGUGCAGGAGAGGAAGGUAGAAUUCCCGGUGUAGCGGUGAAAUGCGUAGAGAUCGGGAGGAAUACCAGUGGCGAAGGCGGCCUUCUGGACUGACACUGACGCUGAGGUGCGAAAGCGUGGGUAGCAAACAGGAUUAGAUACCCUGGUAGUC